ensembl:lncRNA
GGGGAGCAGAGGGCAGCACGCGGGGAGCACGCAGGGUGCACGCGGCGGGCACUUGGUGCAGUCCAGAUGUGGGAGCUUCGCCUGUACAGGCGAGCAGUGGAAACGGAGGAGGCACUAACAAAAAUGAUCUGGAAAACAGGAGCUGUUUGAGGACGGGCCCCCACAGGCACUCUGAUCCUGUCAGAGGCACCGCGAACGUUUUCAUCACUGUGACUGAAUCAGUGCAAAUCUACACACAGUCGUCUCUGCUUCCACUCGAGGUGGACAGCCAGGUAAACCACCCGAAGUCCUGCCCACUGAGGCGAUCGCCCUAACCAGUGUCUCGGGACCACGGCUGUCCAGGGCCGCCCGCUGUGGCUGAGGUCAGAGCAUCAGCAGAAGAAAUCCUCAGACACCAGUGUGAGGCGAAUUCUGAACAAGAUUCUGGUCACCGCCAGAGCCCAUUACCCUGGCAAGAGACAGAAUGCCCCAGGGGAAACCUCGAAGUCGGUCACCGUGCAGCCCCACGCCGCUGAAGGUUUCUGCCUCACAGGGACUCGGCCUCCUGUCGACCCCAGCCCUGGCAACGAGUUGGGCUGAUUCACGGAAUGAGCUGAGAGGCUCCGAGUUCUCCAUACGGUGACAAGCCGGUGUGAUGUCAUCCAACCUAGAACAUUUCCACCUGUGCGUCACCAAGCAGGUCCUGGGCACACUCCCCAUCUGACUCGUCCCUCUCCUGGGACCCCAGGACCAGCGUGGCCCUCACCACCCUGGCCUGAGCUCAUUACGUGGACCGAAUCCCUCGUUCACGGACAGCUAAGUGCUGUGCCCUGGCUUCUGCCACCCUGAGACCCCAGUAGGUGGCCAUUCACUCGGGGACCCAGCUGCACCUCUUCAGGCCUUGGUGGAGAAAGUGAACUUGGGUGAGACUCGGUGGGCAGCUGAGCAGACUGCGCGUGCUGGGUGAUUUCAGACAGCGCCUUCUUUCCCGAGCUUUCUGAUAAGCUACAGAAGUUCUGGCAUUUCUGCCUCACUAACUUCGGGCCACUGCCAAGGCCGGGCAUGAGCUAACCAGCUGCAGGCAACGCGCUGUGCUCCGUAGCUAAGAUGGGGGCAUCGAUGACACUCGCUGUGCCCCUUGCAGGUCCCCCCACCCCGCUCCCCAGACCCCUGCUCAAGCGCAGGCCUGCCUCCCGGCCCCGGGCUGUG